rnacentral:ncRNA from 1 species
GUGAGCCGUGUGAUGGGAAACCUUCCUGCAUGGUUCAGAGAGCAUUGAAUUAUUAGAAUGAGACGUUUACCACCACAUCAUUGCAUGCAAGGGAGCUUGCUCAGUUCGCAGAUUGGUUUGACCCGUAAUUAACUUCUGACCCGUGU